rnacentral:lncRNA from 1 species
AAAAAUCCGAAUCCUAAUUUGACUAUCAAAUUCGAAAUUCGAAAUUCAAAUAUGAUUCUAAAUUUGACAAAUUUUAAAAAUUUAUAUUCAAAUCCAGACCCAACUAAAAAUUCAAACUCGAACCCUAACUUGAAUCCAAACCUGAAAACUCGAACCGUAACAAUUAUUUCUCUUUAUAAUAUUUCAAAAUACAUUAUAUUAAAUCUAAAUUUUAAAAUACAAAUUUAAAUAUAAUAUCAAAAAUUUAUAUAUAAUAUUUCAAAAUAUAUUAUAUUAAAUCUAAAUUUUAAAAUAUAAAUUUAAAUAUAAUAUCAAAUAUUUAUAUAUAAAUUUUGUCUGUACUUGGGAUCAAGCCAAGUACAGACAAAAUUCAUGCCCAAAUCUAAAUCUAUUGGAUUUUCAUUCUUUACAUCCGUACCUGAAACUAUAUCCCUUUAAAAUUGACAAAAUCCGCUCCGUUAACAUAUUCGUGUUCGGAUAAAAUUAUGGGGAUCAAUAUCUAUUGACAUUCCUGAGCCCAACCGCAGAAGCAGCUCUAAUUGAGCUCUUUCUCAUAUUUUUUAUUUUUUUUCCCAACCUAUUUUUUAGAGGUUACACUUUUUUCGUUUAGAAUUCAAAAAUUUAAUUUUAAUUUAUGUUUAUAUUUUAUAUUUAAAUUAUAUUUCGAAUUAAAUUUUGAGAUUCAUCAUAAGAAUUUUUAAAAUUUCAAUUUUAAUUUUAAAUUUUGAUCUUGGGUUCGAAUUUCAAACCUAAAUUGUAAUUCUAAAAUAGAACAUUAAAUUUUUUAUUUUAGAUUUACAUUUGAAAUUUAACUUAUUUUGGUUUAGAAUUUUUAAUUCAAACUCAAGCUUAAUUUCAAAUUCAAAUUCAAAUUUCUUCUCAAAUUUAAAUUUAAAUUUACAUUUUAAACUUAUAUUUUAAAUUCAAUUUCAAACUUUAAUUUUGAAUUCCAAAUUCAAAGCUUGAAUUUUGAAUUCAAAUUUUAAACCCAAAUUUAGAUUUUAAAUUUGAAUUCAACCUAAACUAAAUUUUAAUUUGAUUUAUUUUUUUUUUUAUAUUUUUUAAUUUGUUUGUAGACUGUAGUAACUUAACAAAGUUUUUACUUGUAGUGUCCCUGGUGUCUAGCGGUCGGUGUGAUUUCAGCAUCUGAGACUUGUUGAUAUGCCUGGAGAGUGUCGGGACGAAUCAGAGUCGUUUUGAUGCGAAAUGGACGCAAAACGAAUGCAGAGCGACGCGAGAGUAGAGUUCUGACACUGAAAUCUGCAAAGUACAGAAUUUUAGUGUUGAGUAUUGGUACAUGAGGAGGAGUAGCGGUACCCCCAUGUAAUGACAGAACUGGAUUGCUCUUGGGUUUGUGUAUAUCUGAUGCUGAGUACAGGUACAUGUUGUCGAGUACCGAUAUUGAGCUCGGGUACCGGUACUGCAUCGGGCUGGUAUCGGUACCCAGUGUGCGAGAUCGCAGUUUGAGGGGCCGAGUACCAGUAUUCAAGCUAAGUACCGGUACUCCAGCUGGAAAAGUGAGUUGGUAAGGGGUAGUUUGGUCUUUUCAAAUGUCGUUCAUUCUAACAUUUGCCCAGCCUAUAUAUAUACACGGUAGGGUGUUUAGAGAGGGGAUGCUGCUUCUUUUCCUCUCUUUCUCUAGCUGGUGGUUGCCGUGCGUCGGAAAGGUCGAGGCUUGAGCUCGUUCGGAUUUGACGAUUCUCGGAGGACCUUUCGUGCGUGUGGGUGUCGUGGUUGAGUCGUUAGAGAUCAGGCGAACGAGUGGGUUCCCUCCUAUCGACUUCUAGCCAACGUUGGACGAGCUUUUGGAGGUGGGUUGAAUGUUUACCGAAAUCAUCGAAUUUCCUCCUAAGUCUAGAGUUGACAGCAUGUAGUUAUUGUUUUGGUUAUCAUAUUAGUAGUUCAAAUUCAUCGAUUUGCAUAGUUUAUGGAAUCUGAAUUCCGGAGUCUUAUUUUUAGAAGCUUUUUAUAUGUUGAACUGGAAAUUGACUUAAGAGAAAACACGUUAAACCCUGCACUGUCAUUUUCUAAAAAGUUAUCAGAUUUAGCUGCAGGAGCCGUGGUUUUUUUCUAUCCCCGCUGUUAGUGCGAAUUGGAUACACAUAUUAGUGUAGAGUGAGUUUACGUUCGUGUUGGAAGGCCGAGUUCGUUUUACAGUUGUGUAUAGACUGUUUCGUACGGUAAAUUGCCGUCGUGGUUGGCGGUGGACUUAGAUUUGCAUCUGAUUGUGCCAAGGGCACGUGAAUUUUGAUUGUUAUGCCAGUUAGACUAUUUUGCAUUGACUAUAGCCUGUGAGAGCAUGAUUGAGCUCGGCAGAGACACUCUUGCAUACUCGGUUGGAUCGCACCCACGAGUGCCGAUCUGGAGUGAGACUUUUUACUUGCGUUGAUGUCGCAAUCGUCCUGUUUGGACCGUUUACUUGGACCAGCCAUCCCUGUGGGUGGUGUACGGUGUAGCUUGGUUACUGGCCGGAUGGGUCCGUUUGGGCAGCCCUAGUGAGAUUAGGUCAAUGUGAUAUAUCUACAGAUAGAUUGUGUUGGUUAGCGAUAGUAUAGUGGCAUGUAGUUGUAGAGUUCUUUCCAGCUUUCUUUACUAUCUUUUGCAUAUCUUUCUAUAGACUUAGUGGGUGAGUCGUUGAGGUCGGUGACGGUACCCACUGAGGAUUACUCUUUUUACAGUAGUUCUCACACCCAGUUGUUGACACCUUUUUGCAAAGACCUCGUCUGCGGUUACUGUUGUUGCUGAUUCGGACUGUAGGAAGGGAGUCGCGAGCUAGAUCCCUACCAGUCUGGUCGUCGUGUUAGAGGAGUACCAUAUAGAGAUAGUUUUGGGGUUGUCUGUCUACAUAUUGUUAUAUUGUCGUUGUACUCGUUGGAGCGAGAUGGGUCGUGGACUUUUGUAUGUAUAGGAACUCCCCUUUUGUUAUAUAUAUAUAUAUUUAUGUUUCAGUUUAGCAGCUCUAUACAUUUGGUUGUAGCAAUAACUUGCUUACAGGUACAGCUAUCGCUUUGUAUACACGAAAAUUUUCUAUGUCUACGGCGGGCAGGUCUGUUGGCGUGCCCGGAGAAACAUGGUAAUCCGAGGCGUGACAUUACCAAACAACUUUUCCCAACAAAAGUAGCCAAAUGUUUUACAGCUUUUUGUUUACAGCAAUACUAUUUUAUAAGGGUAAACUUCAAAUACCACUCCUGUGGUUUCGCACUUUCUCACUUUAGUGCCAUGUGGUUUAAAGUUUUUCAAGUUAGUGUCCUGUGAUUUUUUUUUUAAUCUUUUCGUCAGCUUUUUCGUUAAUAUUUCGUUAAAUUAUAUACAACAAAUUCAGAUACCACACUUAAGCUUUAUCGAAUAUUGACUUUAGGGCCCGUUUGGUUCGAGUUAUGUAAUAUUACAAAGUAUCUCGAUAUAUUCAGGUAUUUUAGAUUUCGGCGUGAGAUUACUACUAAUGCUGCAUUAGAGCGUUUGGUUUAAUACAGUAAUAUAAUACUAGAUUACAGUAUUUAUAGCAUUAAUAUGUUUGGUUCAGUUUAUAAAAUUUAGUAAUCCUGAUAUAAAAGUAUAGUUUUUUCCAAAAUUAUCCUUGUUGUGGUCAUUUGAAUAUUAUUUUUUACGGAAAUGAUGUAUGGAGGGAAGGAGAUCGUGAUGAUUAUUUGGGAGGAGACGCAAUAGAAGAUGAUAGGUGUGCGUGAGAGAGAGAGAGAGAGAGAGAGAGAGAGAGAGAGACGUCGAGAGAGAAAGCGAGAGAAAACGGCGUGCGAGAGAGAGGGCCAGGGGACGGCGAGAGAGAUGAAAAUAAUACUGUUAAUUAGAUUUUGGGUUGUUGGAGGGUAAAAUUGUCAUUUUACAUAAUAUGUAGUAUUAACGGGUUUCAGUAAUGCAAGAUACACGACCCCCCUCCCGUUAAUAUUUUCGAUGUAAUCCUACUCGAUUUGUAAUGUUACAUUAACGACUAGAUUACAUAGCGGAUUAACCAAACACAGUUAUCCUGACAGGAUUGCCUGCAAUCCUGCCAGGAUAACUCGAACCAAACGCACCCUUAGUAUUAUUUAGUUUAACUUUGUCACUGAUUUAAUGAAAAAAAAUUAGUAGAAUUGAUAAUAAAAAAUAAAAAUGAAACCAUACGGCAUAAAAUUGAUACACUUUAAACCACAGAGUACUAAACUGAAAAAGUGUGAAACCAUAGGGGUGGUAUUUGAAGCUUUCCCAUUUUAUAAAGUGCUUGUUCAACAGCACUAUUCCUCGAAGCUAAGCCAAACAGGGCCAAAGUCAACCCAAAAAAAGGCCAACCCACCCAGUAUUUACUCAGGUUGCAACACUAAAUAAUUGGAUCAUAUACACUUUACAUCAAAAGAACCACAAAACAAACAUUCCAAAAUCAAAAUCUAACUGUUCUAUGACAAUAUUAAAAUGAUCAAGAUAUAUAAAUAAAUUACUUUUGGACACCUAUUUACCAUGAGUCAAAUAUUGAUCAUUUUACUACUAUCAGUGACUGAUGAGAGUACUUUUUUCAAACCUUACAAUUUUUAUAUAUAAAUCUUUAAAAUAGUGUAGAUCACAUAUAAUAUUAUAAAUUGAAGAUUGAUUUUGAUAUUAAUUGGCUCUCUCUGGUUUGGCGUAUUUUCACUUAGCUUCCCUAUUAUUGAAAACUUGUUGAAAUAUUUUACUUUACUAUUGUAUUUUUUUUCUCUUCACAGUUCUAAAAAUUUACUAUUGAGUGGAGUAUCAAAAUAUUAUGAUUUAUAAAUCAGAGUAGUAAGGUGAUACAUUUUGUAAACCACAUAAAGGUAAAAUAUAGUAUUUUAAUAGUGUAUAACAAUUUGCAUCCUAUGAUUUGUUAAAUAUAUUAUUUUACUAGUACAUGGCCAGCGCUUCGCGGCGGGUAAAUAGUAUUUCAGUCAACUUAAAUAUUUUAAUUUCUGUAAAUUUUAAUAAAUAUUAUAAAAAUUUAAAACCCUCAAUAUAAAAAUUUAAACCUUGGUACUUUUUAUACGUAGAUUUUCUAUAUAAUGUAGAUCACAUUUAUUUAAUUAUAUUAUAAUCUUAUAAUAUGAAUUAUUAAAAAUAACGGUGGGUGUAUGUAAUAUUUAUAGACUUAGUGCAGGCAAUUAAUAUUUAUACUUGAGAAGUGGGUUGAGAGGAAAAAUUAUUUUAUGCACCGGGUGUAUACAUAUAUUUGUAGAGUUAAUUUCAUACAAGUCCCUACAAAUAUAGUAAAUUACAAAUAUAUCUCUAUAAAGUUCAACUUUCAUAUGUUGUCUUUGCAAAACUCAUGAUAUUUUUAAAUAUGUUCCUGCCGUUAGGAUCCGUUAGAAAAAAUUAAUUAACUAUAGGUAAAAUACUUAAUCAUAGUUAGUUAAUGAGGUGAAUUGACCUUUUUACUCCUCUUUAAUUAAUAGUUGAAACUUUUGGAAGGACUAUUUGUGAUGCAAAAAAGAGCAUUUUACUUAUAAAAUAAACAGUAUUUUAACGGUAACAAACCCGAGAAAUAUAUUUGAAAUUAUUAGGACUUUUAUAGGAAUAACAUAUGAAAGUUGAACUUUGUAAGGAUAUAUUUGCAAUUCACUAUAUUUGCAAGGAUCUGUAUGAAAUUAACCCUAUUUUAUAUGUAUCACUGGUAAAUUUUUUUAUUGAAAUUUAAAAUCUGUAAUAUAUACAAACUUUUCUAUGAUGUAGAUCACAUCUAUUAAAUUAUAAUUUAAUUUUAAAAUUUUAAUAAUUAAAAUUAUGUUUAGUGUAUAUUAUAUUUUAAUAAACCAGGUGCAUGCAAAAAUUGAUGUGAGAGAAUUGAAGGGGACACAUGUGGCUUCCUAAUCGUUAACAUGAGCCAACUCUCUAUAGUGAAAGAGGUAUAGAGAGAAAAAAAUUUCCGGUGCACCUAAUGUAUACUAAAGCUCCAUACGCCAGAUAGUAUGUGAUGAUUGUUGAAUUAUCUAAUGAUUAAUAUCGCAAAAUAAUAUAUGAUAUAAUAUGUAUAAUAUAAAAUAUUGAAAUAUUUAUUAUAUUACGAAAAUUUACAUUUUAUGUACUUUUUUAGAGUUGGUUUACAGUGCACCGAGCGCGUCCAACAUCUUUUUGGACAUUUUGCAUGUUCCCAUUCGCUCCUCCUUAAAACGGUGAGAUGGGUCAAUGUAGAUUGUAGAGCUAUUUUCUUGAUACGAUGGAAGUGGCAAAUUAUGUAUUCUAUAGAUUACGCUAUUUAACAACAGCUGAUGAGUAUGUAUUAUUACCAUAGUUAAAAAGUUGAUUAAAGUUUACCCUUAGAAUCUGUUUCAUUCAUAAUAUUUUUUUAAGAUAUCUUAAAAUGAUUCGUUAAGAUUAUGAAACUUUAUAUUUAUUUUAUUACAAAAAUUUGAUGCGGGAGGAAUUAUAUAUAUUUUUUUUUGGAAUCGUACGAUCCCUUAAAAUGUAGGAUUAGCAAAUCCACUUUCUUCCUUGUUAUUGUUUUUUCCAAAAAGAGUAAAUUUAGAAAGACUAAAAUAUUACUUUUUUGUAAAUUUUGUAGAACCUUUUUGCAUAAAAAAUCUAAUAGUUUUGUGUUUCUAUAGAAAUAGGCCACUUUUUUUUUUUUUUUUUUUUUUUUUUUUUUGCAGAUACUGAACUUUUUGAAAGUUAACCAAAAUAUUCAUGUCUUAAAUACCCUCUCUCUCCUUCCUACAUCUCCUACUUAGGAGCCUGUGUCUUUCGCUACAGCCGACAGUCUCGAGUACUCUUCCCAUCUUCACCGCCUCCACACCAACUUCUCCUUGCGUCCAUGCCGUAGUAUUCGACGAUCAAGAAGAAAACGAGAAAUUUAACUGCUUGUUGUUACGGCUACUCGAAGCUUCAUUGGAAAUUGAGAAGAAGGUGGCAAAAGACGAAGGCGAAAAUUGCUAAUUGAGAAUACUUUUGAAGCAUGCUCAUGGUACAAGCAUGGGCGAUGACGGUGAGGUCGUGACGGUAUUGAGAGAGAAAAAUUUGACAGAUGACGAGAUAUUGAACUAUUUUAAAAUAAUUUGCACUAUGCAGAUCUAUAUUACACUAUUUAGUAAGAAAGUAGCACUACCAAUAUUUCUUUUUUAAACAAUACAACAUGUAUUCGAAUAGUAUAACUUUUUAUAAAAUAGUGUAAUAUCGUGUACAAGGUUUGUCAGAUUUUUCUUUUUCACUACCACCAGCCACGCUACAAAUCACCUCGCAAACCUACUUUAGGAGCAUUUUCAACCAGCGAUUAUCGCAAUCCUUCUCUAGCAUCUCCGAUGAUGCUCCAAGUAGGACCACCCUCGCUUCUACAGUGACGACAUCGUCAGAGAAUGCACAGAAUAACCAUGGCCACAAGCGAGUCAAGUAUUAUGAUCAUUUUCUUAAUAUAGUUAAAUAAUUUUUGUACUGAACCAAACAUAAAACUAAUAUAUUCAUAUAUAUUCUAAAAUAUGUAUAGAAUCGAAAAUUUUUUCUAUCAUCAUAAAAAUAAAUUUUCGGAACGAAAAUUUUAAUUCCGUGAAUCAAACGGGCCAUAAAUGUAACAAAAACGAUGCAUACGGAUAGACCAGGUGCAGGAACCUAUCUCCCAAACACCCAAUCCACCAGGGCGAAAUGCCGCGAAAACAAAGUGUCCAAGCGAUCAAAUUUGCGUCGCAAAUUCCCAAGCGAUUCCGCACCUCUCGUUCCGUUCCAGUUGCCACACUCUCCAUGGCUAGUUGGCUACUCCCUCCUCAUCUAAAUCCCCCCCACCUCUCUCUCUCUCUCUCUCUCUCUCUCUCUCUCUCUCAUCCUCACCUCCCAUGGCGUCGUCGAUCUCCUCCUCCGCUCUUCUCCUCCGCCCCCGCCCUCCUCCUUUGCUCCGCCGCGCGGGGCGAUUACGCCGAUCCAGCAAACCCUACUUCACCCUCUCCCCGAUCUUCGCAUCAUCGUCGUCGUCGUCCACUACGGCCCCUCUAAUGAAGAAGGAGAGGGAGAAGGAGAAGGAGAAGGAGGAGGAGGUGGUGAUCGUGGGCGGCGGGAUCGCGGGGCUCGCCACCGCGCUCGCGCUCCGCAGGCUCGGCGUCGCGGCGGCGGUGCUGGAGCAGGGCGCCUCACUCCGCUCCGGCGGGACCUCGCUCACGCUCUCCACGAACGGCUGGCGCGUGCUCGACGUCCUCGGCGUCGCCGACGAGCUCCGCGCCCAGUUCCUUCAGAUCCAAGGGUACACGAUUCAAACCCUAGCUUAAUGGUUUCAUAGCUUGCGUUCGAUUUUUCGGUAAAUUGCACUAUUUUGCUAGUAAUAAUCACCAAUCAGCUACUUUACAUGAUAUCAGAGCAAAAUGUUACAAGUUAAUUCCUUCCAGAUCAACUAUAAACUUACUUAAUUUCCUGCAAUUUAGCUAAAUCUGCUUCUUGGGCGAAGUCUUGAGCUAAGACGUGAUAAUCGUUCAAUAUUGUCGAAUAUAAAAAAACAGUAUAUUGAACACCAGUUGCAUCCCGUUGACAUCUUGUAUAUUUCAAUCCUACAUCCGAUUUCUAAGCAGAGAAAAUGCACCCACUCAAUAGAUAACAGUGAUUGGAAUAUAAGAUGAGAUCGAGGGCCGAAUGAUGCAAGGUACACUAGGCAGAGGUAAUAUUUUUCUCUACCAGUAUAUGAGAGGGACUAAGUGAAAUGCUCUCAAAAUUUUGGAUAUCAAACUUACAGGUUUUAGGACUAAAGCAAAAGUUGCUUACAAGUUCGGGUCCUUACAGUGUAAUUUAGCCAAAUUUUCUUUUAUUCUUAGGAAAAUCUUGUGUGGCCCAUUUGAUAGCUUUGAGAUUGGCAAUUCUUAUUGCCUAUCAGUGCUUGUCCUUGGAUAUUACUUUAGCAUGAUCUAUCACUUAAAUUUUCAAUACCUAUAGCAUGGAAUAAUUUGAUCUUAUGAAUCGAUUUUCCUUAUAAUAUGCUGUUUCCUGAGAUAGGUGAUGUUAUUUGCUAAAUUUAAUAUCUAUGUUCAUUGUAAAUAAUAUAACAAUCAGAAUAGUAACCUUAAGGCUGCGUUUGGAAAUAGAAUAUUAAUUUGAGGGAUAAUUUUUUUUAUCCUUGAAAUAUCUCUAAAUUCUAGGAUAGAGAGAAAUAAAAAUCAUUUUCUGUUUGGUUGGAAAUGAGCUUAUCCUCUAGAAUAAGCUAAAUGAUGUUUGCCUAAUUUUUUGAAAGAAGAGAAGAAUAGUAAUAAAAGUAGAUUGAAAUAUUUGCAAAUGCCAAAAUUGCCCUUAUAUAUAUAUCAUAAUUUAUAAUAUAUUAAAUUACUUGUAUAAUAAAAUUAGCCCUGAACAUGAUUAAGAACUAUACUUAUCAUAUAUACAUGAGCAAAAAGUACUUGCAUGAGUAACUGUUAAAUAAUUUAAUUCACAGAGAUGAAAUUAGGCUCAUCAAUACAGAGCAACAUUAUCAUGCCAGCACCAAUUAGAAAUAGCUAUAAAAAAUGAAACAGUUCAUUGUUAUUUUAUUCUAAAAUUAAUGACCUAAAAUUAAAUUUGACAGAAUAUCACAUUUAUGGAGUCCAAUAGUCAUUUGUUGGUAUUCAAAUUAGAUGGCCAAAUAUAAAUGAUAAUGUAUAGAAGAAACAUGUUUACAACAUACGGGAAACAUGUUUAAAACAACAGUACACUACAUCACAUGAUAGUCAAAGUCACAUAUUGAUUUUUGCCUCUAACACAGCAGGCUGUAAAUGCAAGAGUUUUUAUUACAUAGUGAAGAAAACCAUCCUAGCGAUUACUCCAUAACUGCUAUGUAAUCAUAGUGCGAAGAGUGUCGCCUCGUCGUGACUCAUCUAUUCCAACGAGACGUGUAGGAUCCUCUGCUUGCUCUUCAAGGGGUGUCGGCUCCAUUUGCAUGUUGAAGUAUAUAUCACUUCCCUGAUGCCUCUUAAUAAAGUUAUGAAUAACACAACAUGCUAAAUUUAUGCGGCAUUGCACCUUGUAUGGAAAUGGAGUCGCUUGGCGGAGCGCCUUGAAUCGCUUCUUCAAAAUCCCGAAGGCCUUCUCAACAACAUUUCUAAGUUGCGUGUGCCUGUGAUUGUAUAGAUCUCGUGGUCCUCGAUGUGCGCGCGCCCUUGUAUUACCAUCAAAUUGGCUCAAGUGAUAUCGCUCACCUCUAAAUGGCGCAAGGAAUCGAUCGCUAUUUGCAUAACUUGAAUCGACCAAAUAGAAUUUUCCUAUAAAAAAAAACAACCAAAUGUUAAUUCAUGUUACUAUAUAAGAAAGAUUAGAAUUUUAAAAUAACAUUACCUUCGGGAACCAUAAAACCGCCACUCUCACAACACCAAUGCAGCACCCUCAUAUCAGCUGCAGAUCCCUCCCAUCCGGUGCAUACGAACAAGAACUGAUGAUCAAACGAGCAUGCGGCCAUCAUAUUCUGUGAUGUAUAUCCUUUGCGACAACGAUAUCAUGGUUGCUUGCUUUUUCUUACAACCACUGGUAUAUGCAUCCCAUCUAUAGCACCAAUUGCAUUCUACAAGUGAUGAAAGAAGUAUCAAUAUAAGUGAGAAAUUUAUAACUUAAAUAAUAAAAUUAAAAAUCUGAAUUAUAAUUGAUAUCACCUUAAAGGGAUGGAAUAAUAGGUUAUCCCUAAUUUUGGAGUGCAUCCCAGCAUUACCACUUGGCAACUGUAUAUAAUCAUGUCAAAGUUCGACCACACCACGUAAGACAUUAUUAAAAUAUCUACUUAUAAUCUCCCCUGAGUGUUGAAACAUUUUAGCCAGCACUCUAUUUGUUACACCAUGGCCGACAACGAACAAAAAAAUGCCAAGUUGUUCAUCAGCUGUAAGAUGUCGGGUGCCUUGUAUCAACCCUCUACCGACCAAUUCAUCGCGAAGUCGCAUGAAUGUUGUGUUGCACAUUCGAAAAUGUUGGUACCCUCUAUCAGGAUGUUCUCUCAGUAUAUCCAUAAUUAGUUGGUGCCCAGUGAAAGGUCUAGUGCGACAAGGUCUCUUAUAUAAGGUGUCUUGAAAUGCCAGGACACAUUCAUCAAAUAGAAUGGCUUGCACCUCUUCCCAAUAAUCUUCCUCCUCAUCCAAAUUUGUCAUGAGGUUAGCCACAUUUGGAGACGAAAAUGCACGACGAUUGAUUAUCUCGCUCAUGGCUGCAACGGAAGAAAAUAUUAGCAAUUGUUCAAAGAAUUAUUAUAAUUGUACCAAGUAGUUGUAUGGCCAAAACAAAAUUACAACUAGUCUUUUAUAAGUUAAACCGGUAUUUGGCUCAGGUUGGAAAGGAUUUAAUAUGAAAUGGUGGCGACAGUUGAGACCUUCACUGCCUCCCUACCAUUUGCAUCUACUUAUCCUUUUGUGCAACCUGUUUUUUGUUGGCUCAGAAUUGCAAAGAUUUUGAUGAAUUGGUGGCCGCAGAUCAGGAAUUCACUAUCUCCCUACCAUUACCGUUGUAAAUCCUUUCGAGCAUCAUCACCGAAACAUCUGCACCCUUUAUAAAUAUGCUGCUAGCAGAUUCGAAAACAGCAGGACAAAAAAAGCUUCACUUCCUGCCAACCUGAUUAUUGUUGACCCAGGUUUAAAAGGAGUAUCAAGAGCAAUGGUGGCUGUAGUAUAUAUUGCAAUUAGCGUCAAAAAUAGCAUAACAAAAGUACUAAUUAUCUGUGAGCCAUCCCAGCAAUUUACAAAGUGCAAUACUAUAUGUCCAAAUAUUGUGCAAUAUAGCAGGAAUGCAUAUAUGCAUGCAACAAUCCUGUAGGUUUGAACCUGCAACAACAGAUAUGUACAUAGUAGCAACAAAAGAGAUAAAACUCGGUCUGCAUUUUAGAUAAAUAAAGUGCACACAGAUUGGAAAAAAGAUUGAUAAUAUUUUCCUACACAACAGAUAAAAGAGAUGGACAUCAAGAGUAGCAGAAAAAAGAGCAUAGAUAUUUAGAAACAGCUAUAUUAUAGUGGUAUCAAGAGCGAUAGGAAAUAAUAGAAUCUUAAUAACUUCAGGACAUGUAAAAAUGUAGGUACAUCAAAUGCAGAAUACAUAAAAUAAUAUUUACCCAUCAAAGCCACCAAUAUAAAAAUCUACUGAAAUAUACAACAAUCACAAGUAGAAGAUAGAAAAUAAAGUACUGCCAGCAAGGCCACAUUCGUAACCUACUAUAAUUUAGUAACAUCAAGAUCAGAGGAGUGCUUUUGCACAUGGUGCCAUCAAUUCGAGAAAAAUGACAGCCAACUAUAAUAUCGGUAAGUAUUUAGUUUAAGACUUGGAAGGAAAUGCUGUCAUCAGAUCUAUUUUGAUAAGAAUCAUAGUAUAACCAUGUUACAUAAAGAUCAAAGAAAAGCGUACAUUUUGCCCCCUUCAAAUUGUUACACAAUUACCAAGCUCAGGUUAAUAAGUGUGAAGAAUAAAAUGAUGGCUGCAAGGAAAGAGAAUAUCCAUGCCUCCCUACCAUUUUAUUCUAUUAUGCAUCAUCGCGGCGAGCUUUCCAAAUGGCUAAGUUGGUGGCUGCAGAAUAAGAAAUCUUAACUGCCUCCCUACCUCUCACACAUAUUAAUCAUCAUCGCCCGUACCUUUGCAAAUAGGUUUUUUAAAAACCUUCAGGAAGCUUUGAGUUGAUGCCUUUAACCCAUAAAAUUUGUUGUACCUCAGUUUCAAUAUGCAUAGAUAGAUUAAAAGUAACGUACGUCCAUAAUCAACCCACCUGAAGAACUGCAUGCUGGCACUUGAAAUUUAAUCUAUUUUCGAGUGCAGUUGUAGUAUAAGUAAUUUCCAAGAAUGUGUCAAAAGUUGUAUCAGGAUAACGAAGCAAGAAACAACAGUAGUUUAAGAUAAAAAUUGAAAGAGUACAUAAGGAUUUGCUGCCAUUAUAACAUAAAAUUAGAUUAAGUCAGCAGUAACCUAGAAAGUCCAAAAUUUGCAUAAAAGCAAUAGGUUAUGCUGACAGUACAUAUCCAAAAUGCAUUUUCUUUACCACCACAGCAUGGGUAGAAGCACAAAACCAGCCAUGGAGUAGUUCACAUGCAACAUAGGAGAAACAAACAUAAAUAUAGUUAACAUAGCCCAUGCUAACCAUACGACGCAUCCAAAAUAUAUUAGGUUUCUAUGCAAGGCGAUCAAAAACUGACAGUAGAGUAGGAAAGUUUUUUAUCUAGUUAGGAGGGAAGGAAGGUGCAUCGGGUUUAUGGCCAGCGGCUGCCCUUUGUAUGACUAGUUGACGAUCAAUCCACAUAUAAAGAAUAUCGUCACUCAAUGACAUAAAGAUCGAUCUGUUGCGGUCAUCUUUGAACGCUUCACAUGCACAGAGGAUAGCGUCUAGGGACAGAUUUGAAAUAUCAUACAAUCUUACCAUACACUCCUCUAUAGAGUGCACCUUUGGACACGCGUCGAGCUCACGCUGUAGCAUUUGCUCGGCAAUGUUCAAUCGCUUCUUGCCGAGAUUGACCAGCUCUUGGAUGGCAUCGGAGGUGUACUCAAGUUUUCCCUUUCGGGUUAAUGUCGGUGUAGUUUUAUGUGAAGGAGAUGACAAACGACGUCUCUUACCAGAAGAAGUAUGGGUUGAAGCGUGGCUAGUGUUCGGAUUUCCGCUCUUCAUUGGAGUUGGAGUAGGGGAAUAUGAAGUUGCAUCAUUAGGCCUUUCUUCAUUCGCCGGAGACAACGGUAAAAGUACUUGUUGAGCCAUAGGUAAUUGGCCAAAUCUAGAAGGGCCCGCCAUAGAAUUUUUAAUUUGUUGUAGUAUUGUGGUUGUACCCGGAGAAGAUGAGGACGUGUUGCGAACAUCCUCACCGUGCAUCCCUGUUCUAAACCCAUGCCUACCUGUAGCAGUGGUUUUUCCAGAUAGGAAAGCAAUGUCCUUAUAUGCAGGGAAGGUUUUGUCCCUACACCUUGAAUAAGCUAGAUUUUCCUGCCAAAAAAGUAUGCCACAAUGGUGAUGUCACAAUAUUAUUAUCAUAUUAUUUAAAAUUUUAUUUAAAAGAAUGGUUAAAUAACAUACCGCUACUACAGCGUCCCAAUCACUCGGAUCCCCAGCUGUCGGAAUGUUACGAUCAUAAUCCCAUCCCAAUCCACUCUUGUUAGCCAACGUUUGGUACAUAAUGAAUUGCCGCUUCAACACUUUCAAACGAUUUUGAAGAUAGUUUUUGCCAAAAUUCACUUUAGUUCGCGCAUUAAAGUCAUGAACAAUUCUUGUCCAAGCCAGUGUAGUGAAACUUCCAUUUACAAAUUACUAAGAACAUGUUCUUCAGUCAUCAAGUUUAGCAUAGCAGAAUCCAUGACCUCUGUCCAAUUUCCAGAUCGUACUUUGGUUUUCGAUGUUUCAUGACCGUGGCUUUCGAUGCUUUGGCUUUCGGUUGAUGCAAUUUCAAUGAUGUUAUAAUUUUUCCUUACCACACAAUUUGGGACUGUGUUUUGCGAGGCCAUCUGAAGGGGACACAUAUGCAUAGAAGAAGAAAUUAAGAAGUUGUCAAAGAGUAUAUAUUAUAUUAUGCCAACAUGGCUCAGGAGAAAGAUGGUAAUAAUGAUUUCAUGGUGGCUGCAAUGCUAUUAAUAGCUUACCACCCAAACCAUGAAAUUCUUGCCUCUCACCUAAGGUUUAAAGUGCCGUGGCACGGGGGCGUGCCGCUACGUCCUUGGCACGGUACGGCACGGGCACGCUUGCGUGCCGACACGUGGCACGCUUGCAUGCCGACAGAUACGCACGACCUCCUACUGGCACGCUUUGGCACGAAUUUAUUUAAGUUUUUUUGGUUCCAGUAAGCUUUUAUAAUGUUAUUUUGAAAGAUUUAGGCAAGUUAUUAUUAAUUUUUGCUAUGUAUAGCUUAUUAUACUCAUCAAUUAACAUGCAUGUAAGCAUUUUGUAUAUAAAGUACAACUAUACCUGAUGUAGAAUAUAAAUUAAAAUUCUUUUGUUUUUAUUUUUUUUUAUUUGAAAAGUACAACUAUACUUGCUGUAACAAUUGAAAAUUCUUUUGUUUUUAAUUUUUUUGUAAUUUAAAAAAUUAUAACAGAUAAAAUGAUAGAAAAUUUUAUUUUUUUUAAAAACGUUCAAAAUCUAUAUAUUGAUUCGAUUAGGAAGUAUAUAAUAACUAGAACAACGAGAAUAGUACCGCAAUUACAUCCAUAUUUUUUUAUUCUUUUACAAAAUAUCUAAUCAAAAUUUGUUUAGGAAAUCAAUUUUUGUUCCCCUGAUUCAUCGAAAACUUCGCGGUGCGACAAAUUUUGACAAAAUAAUUUGCGAAGAAAAAAUGGAUGUCUGUGGUGGAAGCGGAGGGCUCGGGCCGACAGGCCCGAGCCCGUAGCCCACCACUGACAUCCGAGGGGGUGCGGGGGCUUCGCCCCCGCAGUAGGAUCGGAUUUAUCAACUAAAAAUUUACUUUUAUAUUGUUAAAUAAGAAGUUAAAUUAUAAUUUUAAUUUAACAAAAGAAAAGAAAAAGUCAAAAGAAAAAGCAAAAGGCAAAAAAAAAAAAAGGCAUCAGCCAAAAAGAAAAAAAAAGUUGACAAAAAGACAACACAAUGUCAAAAACAUAAAAGAAAAGUGAACAAAAGACAAUAUAGAUGGCCGGGCGAAGGCUCUGUAUCCCAGAGAACAAAAAAAAAACAAAAGCGAAAAAAAAAACAAAAAAAAAAGUUGGCACGGGGCGGCACUGUGCCGCGGCACAUGCACCCGUGCCGCUAUGUCUCGAGCGGCACGGGGCAUGUGCCGAGGCACAUGGGGGGGGGUCCGAGACCCCCCCUGUGCCGUGCCCCCUUCUUGGGGGCACGGCACGGCACGCCCCGUGCCGCACGGCACGGGGCGGCACUGCUAUCCUUGCUCUCACCCGUCCAUCAUUGCCUAAUUUAUUAAAUCACAAGCAACAUGUUACUAAACACAUUGGUCUAAUGCCAUGCUUCCAAGCCACAAAACAUCCGAUUCCACCAUGCAUCAUUGCUAAUAUGUUAAUUACAUCGGAAUCCAUAUCAGGAGCCAUAUACACUAGUAAUUGAGUAAAGGCAGUUACUUAAGCCAAAAAGGAUUUGAGAAGCUCACCUCUGCAGGCUCGAAGAUGAUGAAUAAUAGUAAGUAUUUGGAGCGCAGUUAAGAAAGUUAAGUGUUACGCAAGCCUCAAUAGUUCUCGAGAAUAGUUUGCAUCUUAGCACAGAGACAUAUAUAUAAGGGGAAGAAGGCAACUUACUUGUUUUAGGUGGAAGGAGGUAAAUAAUAAUAAUGGAGGGACUUGACAAGUCGAUGCAAUUGCAAUAUUUGGAGAUGUAAAAACUUGCAACCGAAGCAAUCGCCUCAAUUAAUUACAGGGAACUGAGCUUUAGCCAAACUGUUCUUGAGAAGGAGAGACUGCUGGAAAUCUAAGCUCUCCAAUUAAUAGAGGAUUUGGAGAAGAGAAGAAGAUCGACGAGGCCUCCAAGGUGACUUGACAAUGCGCAACAACAGCACCCAAGGAGGGUCUAAUUUGCACUUGAGGGAGAUCACCUCAAUUUAUUGAAGAUCUGCAAAGUGAAUCGUGGAUCGCCCAGCUAUUGAUGAGAAGGGGUGGCAAGUAGAGAAAAAUCCCUCGCAGUAAAUACUAGAUUUCAGAUGGAGAUGAAGGGUAGGUCGAAUAUGGAGUUAAUAUGAAAGAGAAUAAAAUCAGCGGCGGGGAAGAAGAUGGUAUAAAGAAGAGGUGGGAUUAGGUGAGAGAAUGGAGUAAUGAGGGAGGUUGAAGAGGGAGGUUAAGGAGGAAGAACAAGUCUCUGGUAAAAGACGAAGUUGAAGAAGAAAUAGUGAGGUAGCUGGGCAAAAAGUAAAAGGGUGUUAGUUAUGAGGCCCUUGAACCGAGAGCCUUUUGCUUUGUUUAAUAUAAAUAAAAUAAUCUAUUACUUACCCCUGCCCCUGAUAAACCCCAUGAAAAAAUCCUAUUCUAGGGGUGGCGAAGUAUAAACUUAAUGGGUUAUUCCAUUAAAAAUAGGAAUAACCCGCUUUGACCAGAAUAAAAUAUUCCUAUCAAAUUUUUUUUUGUUUGGUAGAAUAAUAAGAAUAAACAGAUUUAUACCCUAGUUAUCCUCUUUCCAAACACAGCCUAAGGAGGCGCUGGUGUGGACCACUAGCUAUCUCAACGACAUGUCGUGAUAUCCCCAUGCUGCAUAAAGAAGCAAAAGUUUCUAAUUGGAUCUUCUGUUUUCCAUGCUUACUUUUGUUUCUACUUGAAACGUUCUAUGCUUGAACAUAUAUGUAAGUUUUCUGCUACUACUAGAAUCUUUGGAAUUUUUGAUUGUAGCUUCUGCUUCUCUAUCAGAGAAGCUAUUCCAGAAAUCAAACCAAAGAGGUACUAUGUCAGAGGGAUAUAGGUUUCUAAAUUUAAUUCUUGUAUUAUCUCUUUUGUUUAGAAUAUCUUGUUCUUAUUUCUUUGGCGGGCUCAGCUGUGUGCAGACUGGUGAUGAGAUCACAAGAUGGGAGAGAGCUCAGAUCUUUCAGAUUUGAGGACGAAGCCCCUGGGUAAAAUUGCAUAUUAUUUCUUUUUGUUGUACUGAUGAUGGUAAUAAUAAGUUGAUUUUCUGAAUAUUUUAGCUGAAAACCUGAAAUAAUUUUGGACUGCCUCCAGCUUAGUUCAAUUAAUACAGCUCCUAAACUAUUUUAUUUUUUCUGGAAUUGGAGGACCUUAAAAGUAUUGUUACCUCUAAACAAAAUAUUCUCUUUCUUGACAAAAUAUUUUUAUAACUUUUUGACAAACCAGUAUGUCUGAUAGAGUUCGACUGAAAUUCAAAACUUAGUUAGCUGAGAGGCUCAAACCUAAAAUAUUUUAACCAUGUAGUUACCGAAUAUGUACCUAAUAUGUUUCAACCUUCAAGCUAUCUGAUGCUAAUCUUUGACAGGCAAGAAGUGCGGGCAGUAGAAAGGAGAGUUCUUCUGGAGACUCUAGCCGGGAAAUUACCUCCAAACACAAUAUCCUUUUCUUCACGAUUGAGAUCGAUUGCAUGGCAAGGGAAAGAUGGUACUCUUCUGGAACUAGAUGAUGGUCGCCAAGUACUUGCUAAGGUAUUUUAAAAUAACUUAACAUGUUUUCCGUUUUGUUUGUAAUGCCUAGGUAAUUAUAUUUGCAUGGUUGAUUUCUUGCUUUUCCUUUGCCACAUAUAGUGGAUAUUUUAUAUCCCAUACGCAACAUUUACGCACAAUUGUUUAUUAUCUUCUCCUCUAGGAGCUGGUUAAUUACAAGUUCUAAUCUCCUUCUAUGUAGAAGCAGAUUAACUUACAAAUGUUUCAGCAAUCUUAAGAGAGUUUAUAAAUAAGGAAAUUGUAGUGUUGUGUUACUGUAUCACUGAUUGAUCCAAGGGACUAAUGUUUUGAGAGUAAAAAAGAGAUAAGAGGUACGAGGAUUAAUAAAACCUGUACAUAUAAGAGAGAGGCUGCAUGGAAAUAAAAACAUGAGGAUGCUUUAUUAAAAAUCAAGAUGGCUUCAUGAUUUUCCAUGAAAUCCCAAUUUACAACAAAUAAUACUGGAUAUUAGAUAUUAGAUGUAGUGGCUGCAUCAGCCUCUCUACAAACUAUUCUCGAUUUUGACCAUGCUAUGCAUCAAUCUAGUAGCUUACCUACUGUCUACUGAGGGCUUUUUUAUAAAAUAACCUUUUAAAAUUUUGUUAUUUGUGAAAUAACCCUGCCAAAAUUAUAUUUAAAAAACUAAACUCUUAAAGACGGUGAAUAAUUCACCGUUUUCAUAAAGAACCUAAUUUCUCAGAAAAGUGGUGAAUGAUUCACCGCCUUUCACUUAUUUAUUAUUUUUUUCUAUAAUCCUAACAACCAUAUAAAUAUUUCAACAAAUCACAUAUAAUUUUAACAACCUGAAAAUUCUAAUAAUCUAUCCAUACAAUCCUAACAAUUAAAAAGAUCCCAAUAAUCUAUCCAUACAAUCAUAAUAAUCAAACAUCACAUAUAAUCUUAGCAAUUUGAAAUCCUAAUAAUAUAUCCAUAUAAUCCUAACAAUCAAAAAAAUUUAAUAAUCUAUCCAUACAAUUUUAGCAAUCAAACAAAAAUUCUAAUAUUCCACACACAAUCCUAACAACCUCACUUUUUUUUAUUUCCCGUAUAAUCUACGUACAAUUUUAACAACCUCAUUUUUUUUCUCUUUUCCAAAAAAUUAUGAAGAAGACGGUGAAUGAUUCACCACCUUUAAAAGAACUUAGAUACUUUCAGAAUGCGGUGAAUGAUUCACCGCGUUUUGAGAGUUAAUUUAUCAAAUACAAAUUUGAUAAGGUUAUUUUGCAAAUUAUAAAAUUUUAGAUGGUUAUUUUGUAAAAAAGUCCGUCUACUGAUCCUUAUCAUUCUUCUCUACUUAACAUGCAUAUGAUGCAGUGUAUAGUGUAUUAAGCAGUAAUCUCGAAUGGUUCUCUUAACAUAUGAUGAGCAUAUGCAUAAAUCAACGACACUUGUGUACAUAUCAUGUAUGUGCAUCUUUUCUGCAUUUAUGUGUUUGUUCCCCAUUCUUUCUUAAGGCUUCUCUAAUUCAACUGGAGUUUUUAUAGAAGUGCUAUUUGAGUAGAGCUGUUCAUUAUAAUAAAAUGUCGUUUUUCAAAAAUCCUUUCCUCCGACAGCUUCUCGUUGCUAUAAAAACAAAAGCUUAAAAUUGGUGCUUCUUUGAACCCAGAAGCGCAUCGUGGCUUUUUGCACCAGCAAAAGCUAUGGGCUCUUGUUCCUUAUUGCCCAAUUGCUUCUUUCUUGGAGAGAAGUUAUUCUAGAAGUUGGGCCAAAGCAGCUCUUAAUCUUAAUCACACACAAAAUCUUUUUGAAGCAAGUUUGAAAUUUACUCAAUCUAUCAUGUUAUUUUACCGAAAUCCUCUGCUACAGAUUGUGAUUGGCUGUGAUGGUGUCAACUCACCAAUAGCAAAGUGGAUGGGGUUUCCCGAGCCUAAGUAUGUGGGACACUGUGCUUUUCGUGGUCUUGGGCAAUAUCCUGAAGGCCAACCAUAUGAGUCAAAGGUGAACUACAUCUAUGGAAGGGGCCUCCGUGCAGGCUUUGUUCCGGUUUCUCCUACUAAAGUUUAUUGGUUCAUCUGCUUCAACAGCCAAUCUCCAGGUCUCUCUAUCUAUUCCUUGAUAUGUGGCUUUACUAUUUGCUUGAAUAUCAGUUGUGUAUUUCAUCUUUUAUAGAUAGAAUGCAGUUGACUUUAAAUAGGGAUAGAAUUGAAUCUUGUCAGGUUUGUCUUUCCUUUAACAUUAAAGCACUUUGCAGACUACCAUCUGAAAUUUGAAAAGUAAAAAAAACUGCAUGAACAUUUGGUUUCUGUGCUGAUCUCUGUUUAUUUUCAUUAAUAGCGAUUAAUUACAUUACAGCCAAAAAAAGUUGAAACUAAUUUAAACUCAUCUAGGUACUUAAAAGAAAAAGGGUAAAUAUUUGAACCUUUAUGGGUUACAUGACGAGCAUGCUCUAAAGGUAGUUACAAAAUCGACGGAAAUUAGGGUUGGAUGGUUUGAAUAUAUGGAUAAUUUGCUUCUGUAAUUUUUUAACCUUUUAUCUUCAUAUUGUGAUUUAGCAUGUGGCCUUCCGCUACAGGUUAUGAAGUUGUCGAUGAGGCUAAAAUUAAACUAAAAAUUAACAUCUAUUGUCUUGUGUAAGGCAUGUACUUGCUGUUGAAAUCUUAGGAUAUAUUAUGUCUUGGUGAGUUAAAGUGCUCUCUUGUUUGGCCCGUCGGGAGACUCGAGAAAAGUGCUAUCUGAAAAAUACAAUUCGACGAAGCACUAAUGGUUUCUCAUAAUCAUCCUCCAGUAACUUUUCGCUGUAGUAACAUCAGAAGCUUCAGUUUGAAGUUUCAAUUUAGUAAUCUCAAAAGCUUGUUUAAGGUCUUUGUUGUAAUAAAAGCUUCAGAAACUUAGUGUUGCUGUUUUGUAAAGAAGCUGUUUCAAAGGUUAGUUAACUGAAUUUUUUGAUCCAACAUUCCAAAUAGGACCGAGAACAACUGAUCCAUCAGCCCUCAAGAAAGAGGCCUUGGAUCUUGUUCAAACCUGGCCGCAGGAGCUCCUCGACAUCAUGCGCAACACCCCCGAUGACACCGUCGUCAAGACCCCGCUUGUCGACCGCUGGCUCUGGCCAGGCCUCAGCCCGCCGCCAGUUGCAGCAGCUUUGAACGGCAGUAGCAGUGCGGUGGCGGUGGUAGUCGGGGAUGCGUGGCACCCCAUGACGCCCAACCUCGGCCAGGGCGCGUGCUGCGCUCUAGAAGAUGCCGUUGUCCUUGCUGGAAAGCUUGCACCGGCACUAACAGGCAGCAGAGGAGCAGUGGUGGCAGCACUGGGGGAGUAUGCGCAGGAGCGUUGGGCGAGGGUGUUUCCCUUAACGGCGCGCGCCAGCCUUGUCGGAUCUUUGCUGCAGUGGGAGGAUCCAAUAGUGUGUGCUUUUAGGAAUGAGGUAAUGAUUCCCAGGUUAGUUCGAUUGGGGCCAUUCCUGGAGCACACAAACUUUGAGUGUGAGCUGUUGGAGCCCAUUGCGUCCAAUUGAAGCCACGGAUAAUUUCAUAUUCAAGGGAGGUAAAGAUGAACACACACUAUUUGAGUUAUAACCCAUUUUUAAGAUGAUGAAUACUCGAACUUUCAAAUUUGGUACCCAUAGUUUUCGUAAUUGUGAAUUCAGUGACCCUCCAUCCUCUCCAUCAGGUACUGCAGGGGCGAUUUGGUUGGUUCUACUUGCAAGCACCAAGCAAAAUACUAUGUAAUCAUCAAUAUGUACAGCAGAAGAUGCAACACUUGUAUUUAAAGUCUUGUUUCGAUGUCAGAAUAAGGCAUCUAAGAAUAAUUUAUUGAAUACAAAAGAUUUUCUUGUAUGAUUGGAUGCUAGAAAUUUGACUUCAAAUUUUGGUAUCCGUAUCUUUGUUGGAUUUAUUGUAGAUAUUUGAUUUCGUUUUUCAUCUCCUAACUAUUUCGUAAUUCUAAGAUAAAUUAAAGAGAUAUAUCGAAUAAAAUGUUUAUGCAUCUAAAUAGUAAGAUAAAUUCAUCCUGUAUGCUCAUAGGUAGCUUGUAUUAUAAUUACCAUUUUCUGGAUUUUGAUGAUGUAGUUGCACAUAACUUUGGAAUGUCUAAAAAAUGGUCAAGUUCAAAUAACAUAAGUGUAAUAGUGAAUAGUAUUACACUCUUUGAACCGUAAAUCUGUGACAUCCUAAUAGUCCCACAUCGGAUGAGAAUGAGAUUGUCAUUGGAUUUAUAAGAGAGUUAGACAUUAGUAAUAAUAACUAGGUUUAAGCAUUUUGGGCCGGUGGUUUAGACCCAACGAGUUAUUAUUGUUAGCAGGUUGAGUCGUUACAUUUGGUAUCAAAACUAGUUCAUACAUUUGGUAUCAAAACCAGUUCAUCAGCCGGAAGUGUGAGAUGAGUCUUGGCUGAGGCAAAGUCGGUGAUUAACAGGCUAAGUUAGUGAUCUUGAUCUCACAUCGCCUGGUUUCUUAACGGGGGGAGUCUUACAUCGUCUGGUGAUCUUGGGUUGUGUGUGAUUGGACUGACGAGGACGUCAGUUUCUUAACGGGGGGAGUCUGUGACACUACACUCCAAUAGUCCCACAUCGGAUGGGAAUGUAGUUGUCAUUGGGUUUAUAAGAGAGUUAGAAACUAGUAAUAAUAACUAGACUUAAGUAUUUAUAGUCCAAUAGUCCCACAUCGAAUGAGAAUAUGAUUGUCAUUGGGUUUAUAAGAGAGUUAGAAGCUAGUAAUAAUAAUAACUAGACUUAAGUAUUUAUAGUCCCACAUUGGAUGGGAAUGAGAUUGUCAUUGGGUUUAUAAGAGAGUUAGAAACUAACAAGGAUAAUUAGACUUAAGUAUUUUAGGUCGGUGGUUUAGGCCCAACGAGUUAUUAUUGCUAGCGAGCUGAGUUGUUAUAAAAUCUAAUUACAAUCUAAGAAUUGAGAUAAAAUAAUGGCAACUUCUUAGUUCUAUAUUAAAAUUAAAAUACUUUUCUACUCCAUAGAAUGUGACACCAUUUACUAGCCUUGGAUGUGACACCACUUCCUUACUCUACACUUUAUUCUUUUUUAUUUUAUUUUAUUUUAGGUUUCGAGCAUGAAAGUUUACAUAAUCAUUUUUAUCUUAUACUUAGGUAUAAGGUUUGUUAUUGUAAUUAUUUACAUUAACUUAAUUUUAUGUGCACAUUAAACAUUCACUUUGUCAAAAGUGUGAAAGCAUAUAAAAAUGUUUAACAGUAAAAUAUAUUAUAAAGGGAUUAUUACUAUAAUUGGCCCUUAAACUUUACUUUGUUAAUAAUUUCUUAAAAAUUUUAUUUAUUUUAAUGCAUGUGAAUUGUUGCAGUUAAUUAAAUUUUGAAUUUUUUAAUAAAAUUAAAUUGCAGUGUAUUAAAAUCAAUUGUAACCAUCCAAAAGCAUCGAAAGAAAUAAAAUGUUGAUACUUUUUUACCUAAAUAUUAUCAGUUUGUUAUAUAAAUUAUUUUUCUUUAAAAAAUUUGCUUAUAUUAAAAAUUAUCAACCGAACUGUGCAUUUCGUACAAAGUCGUCUCAAUUAGUAAAGAAAAACUGAUUACAUAGCCAAAGCUACUGCAAUCAUGUCACAUCUUAUGAAGUAGAAAGUGUAUUUUAACAAACAAACAAAAAAGUUGUCGAUUGUUUCAUCCCAAUCCUUAUAUUGUAGUCAGAUCUACGGUUUAAAAAGAGUGUAAUACUAUACACUAUAACAUUUAUAUUAUUUGAACUUGACUCCUGAAAAAAUACAUAUAUAUAUAUAUAUAUAUAUAUAUAUAAAAGGUAGUUAAGGUGGUACCCUAAAGUAGAAUAAAUUAAUGAUCUUUCUUUUUCUCUGUUUGUGUAGAUUUGAUGUAGCAGGAGGGCAACAUCUGCAAAUUUAACUUCAGUUAGGCGAAAAUGUGAAAACAAAAAUUUUAAAUUUCUGCUGAUUAUACCUUGCCCAGUUGGUUUAAGUGCUUGAUGGUUGUUUCAUAUUGCUAGCUGAGUUUAUUUUUUAAAAAAUGAACAAAACGGAUUGUUUUAAUAUUUCUUGCAAUUUUCUCUUAAUUUUUUUAAAAAAAAUUGGAGUCCAACUGUAUCUACGGUGCUUCUUGAGCAACGAAACACCCAUUUUAGGCCUCAUUCGAAAUUACAGAUAAAUUAUAUUAUUAAUUUAUUAUUAUUAUGUAAUAUUUUGAUGUUAAUUAAUUAAUUAGAUAAAAUAAUUUUAAUUUAAAAUUAUAACUCGUAUUCACUUUGUUCCAAUCUAACUAUCCAAACACUAGUUACUUUAUUCCUAAGAAUAAUCCAAUUUUUUUAUCCAAACGUAAAAUUGGUCUAGUUCCUGCUUAUAUUAUUGUUACCAAUAAUUUUAGUUUGUUAUAAUAUUGGUCUUUAAAAUUUGACUUUUCUUUCACUUUCUUUUUAUUGAGGAAAUGAUUAUAUUUUGUUAACUAUUCUAUUUAUUAGAAUCGUCUAAAAUUUUGUGAUUUACAUGUUACCAUAUAAUUAUUACAAUAUAAAAAUAAUAAAUAGUUUAUUUUCAUAAUGAAUAAUAUAAAAUAUAAAUUGUCUUACUUUUCAUUAAUUAUUUUUUAAUUUGAUUUCGUUUUUGAUAUCUACCUGAACCAAAUACUGACGAUGAAAAUGAUUUAUUUCGAUUCCAAUUCAGGUGACGAACUAAACUAAAUGAGGAAAUGGGUCAUUUCAAUUUUGAUUCAAGCUUAUUUCUAAUCUGAUUCUAAUUUCAAUUAUGACUUCGAACCAAACGCACCCUUAGAUUGACGGGUAUAAAAUUUAUAUUUAGAAUUUGUUUGGUUCAACAAUGGAAUUAGAAUGAAUAAUGGAAUGGAAAUAUAUUAGAAUGGUAAUUGGAUUGAUCCACUCAUCCAAAAUGUUUGAUUCAUUUCUAAAUUGAAAUUGAAAUGGAUUAUUCCUAUUACACUGUUCAGUUCAUAUAAAUUAAAAAUAAUAUAAUAAUAUAAUAUAUUAAUUUUACUCUUAAAUAUAAAUCUAUAAAAAAAUAUUUUCUAAAUUUUAUAAAAAAUUUAAUUCCAUUCCCAAAUUAAGACCUUUGUAAAAAAGAAAAAAAAAUCAAAUUUAUUUUAAAGUUUAUGUAAUAAAAGAGCAAAUCUUUAUAAAAGAAAAAUGCCUAUUUUUUUGAAUAUUAUUAUAAUAAAAAAUAAUAUAUCAUUUUUAACAUAAAUAACAUGUAUUUUAUAAUUAUUGAUAUUAAACUUCAACUAAAAAAUCUUAUAAAGGCAAAAAUUAUAUAGACUAAUUGUAAAGAAGAAAACAAANAACAAAAACACGAAUUUUUCUCUAAAAUCUGUAAGAUAACUUUUCCAAAAAAAAAUUUACGGACAACCAAAUGCAGGAAAAAAAAUUUCACCCAAAAUUUUUUUUUUCAGAAGAGUUUUACAGGGAUCCGAACAGCCUCUUGGGAAAAACUUCAGAUAUCAUUACUUUGGCAAAGUAGUUGGGAGAUCCAUUUCACUUAGGAAAAACUUCAGAUAUCAUUCUAUAGUUUACCGUACAUUUUUUAACUUUAGUACUUUAUAAUUUUAACUGUAUGAUACUUAAGUACUCUAUGAUUUUUAUUUUUAUUUUUCAUUAGGCACUUUGUUAUCUUCUUCAUUAAAGUGUUAUGUACGACGCAUCUGACCAUCAAAAAUGUCCUAUAGUUGAUAAAUAGUAUGAAACUCGUUUGGUUGGGGGAUAAAGGAGGGGAUAAGGAGUUAUCCCUCCCUUAUACCCAAACAAAAAAAAGGGGUCCCACCCUUAACGAGUUAUUUCAGGAUAGCACGUAUAUUGACUUGCCAUAAUGCGAAACUAUUGGUCCUGUCAAACUUCUGAAUCUUGAAUUUCGUCGUCAUCUUAAUCCUCAAAGAAAAUAGAAAGGCUUUGAUACUAGUUUGUUAAAAUCGAAACGACGAAAAAUAAAUACAGAAAAUAACUUAAUGCAGAAAAAAAAAGAUAAAAAAAAAAACACACCGACAUUUACGUGGUUUGACCAACGGUCUACGUCUACGGACGGAGACGGAGCUAAUAAUUUAUUAAUGUCAAAAAAAAAUAGAGUACAAAAAAGAUCGCUCAAAGACUAAAACUUAAUUAGUUGGAUCGAAAACGCCGCAACAAAACAACUCCAAAAAAUGGCCUCACUCAAUCCGUACGGACCAACAAAUGUCUUAAUUAGUGCAUACGGCUCCUCCUGCCGGUUGGCUUAAUUAAUUAGAGAAUGCCUCCAGUUAGAACAAGGCUCUCCCGCAAUGAAUGCCCUGCCGGUUCUGCAUGACCACCAGCACCAAAAGGACAGUAGGCUUUGGACAUGAAUUUUGAAAACUUAAUUUGGCAUGGCUUCUCAGUUUGGUCGCACCGGCUUCAUUAAUUUGGCCGCAUAUAUAUAGGAUGUUGCUUCAAAUUAGAGCCUAAUUAGAAUUCUAGUCUAAUUAGAUUUCUAAAUAUAAAUUUAAUCUAAUUUAAUUUGAAAUUAGAUUUCGACUCAUAAUCCAUAUAUACCAAAUUAUAUCAAAUCCUAAUUAAAUUAGGAUUUAAUUCUAAUUUAGAUAACGAUAAAUCUAAACCAAAUAUAACAAAAAUUUUAUUGGUUUUGUAUUUUUGCAAAAUCGCGCCGAUUUUUUAAAUUUUGUAGAUUUGAUUUAGAUUUUAAUAAUAUGAUCAAAUUACCCUUAUUGCUCUCUUUCCUUUCCUUUUCUCAUUCCUCUUAUCUCCUUUGACGCUAUUGCUGUGGUCACCCCCAAACCUUUCUUUAAUAUAGUAGAAAGAAUAGAAAUAGAUGUUUCUUAGACUUUCUUGAGUUUUGUCAUCAUUAUCAUCAUCUCCGACAUUGGAACGUCCUACUUAUUGGAAGUGUGAUUUUCUGUUCUUCAUUCACAUUUUGAUAACUUUCUCUUUAACUUGAUGCAUAAUUACUUCAUUGCCAAAAAUUUUUUAACUGCAUCAUUAUUGCGAACUUUCUCGUCGAUCUGAGUUAUAACUUUUUAUUGAUCAACAUAUUUUCACAAAUUUGAUCUUCUUCAUGAUUUUGGUUAGAUUCUUCUUUCCAAAUUUCUUUAUCUUCACCAUUGGGUUGAAUUUCUUCUUCUUGAAUGUAAUUCUAUUCCUGCAAAUAUUCUCCUCUAAUUUUUGCUAGCAUUCUCCAUGCUUUAUGUGCUGUAUGAAAUAUUCUCAACCAAUAGCAAAUCCACAGCUUAAAAAAAAUAUAUGAUAGAACUUUUCUGUCUUCUUUUGAAAUUCUUCUUUACCAAAUUCUUUUUCAUAAUUUCUAUUCUCCACUAUAUCCCACAAAUCUUGGGAUUCUAAAAAAUAUCGAAUGACCAUUUUCAUUGUUUGAAGUUCAUUCUAUCGAACUUUGGUAAGCCAGGUUGAAUAAACCAAUCUAAAUCCACAACAAAACUUGAAAAUCCAAAAAUUAAGUUUCAAACAUGUAGCUUUUUGAUAUAUUGACCUUCUAUCGAGAUAUGUCCAAGUUUUCCAUACUUUGGCUUGCUUGCCUAUCCCUCCAAGCCAUCUGAUCAAGUCUUCAUUGAUCUCUUCACGAGCUCUCCUUGCUCUCUUUUUCUCAAGAGUCACAACCACCUUCUCUUGUGUGUUGUGUGGAGGCCAACUUCUUCGAAGUGAUUCCUUGCUUUGGUUUUACCUGAACGUCAUCUUCGUCGAUUUGCUACAAGUGGCUUGAUUUUGACAUAGUAAUCUGGUAUAUUGGUUCUGUAUUCUUUCCAAAUUUGAUGCUGUUUGGCUUAAAAGUCGUUUGUUACUUUUUGGCUCUAAUAUCAAUUUUUGGAAACGUGAUUUUCUUUUCAUCAUCCACAUUCUGAUAUAUAAAAAUUUCUUCAGUAACAUUCGGAAAAAGUCAACUUCCUCUUUGAUUUGAUGUGUAAUUACUUCAUCGACGGAAAAUUCUUUAACUACAUCAUUAUUGUGAACUUUCUCAUCGAUUUGACUUGUACCUUUUUGCUGAUCAACAUAUUCUUCACGAAUAUGAUCUUCUUCAUAAUUUUGAUUAAAUUCUUCUUUCCAAAUUUCUUUAUCUUCGCCAUUGGGUUGAAUUUCAAACGUUGGAAAAUUUUAAAGAUAAAGAAAGAAAAUAGCAAACGAAAAUAUAAAAUUAAAAAUGUAAAGUUUUGGUACGAUGCAAGGUGCACACAUUGAAACCAGUGAAUCUAAAAUAUCAAAUCCAAAUAUUUGCAGGAACCUGCAGAUCCCUAAGGUUGAUGUGGAUAAUCAUGACUAUAGGUGGCAAAGAUUUCGUGCAUGGCAAUAUCAUUGGACAGGCGUCAUGCUGCACAACUCGAACAUGAAGACAACUACAGUGUCAGAGAUUGCAAAAUCAAAGUGCGCGUUUCACGAAAUUUACGGUUUGAAAAUAAAGUUUGGAUUAAGGGAGGAUGUUAGAAUAAUAAUCCAAACUUAAUCUAUUAGUUAGAGAUAGGGUGUACCCAAAUUAUACAUUGAUUAUAUUUAAAAGUUUAUGUACUUAGAGUAGAAUUUGUAAUUAUCUAAAAUGAAAGUUAGAUUUAUCAUCUGUUAUGACUUGAUAUCUAUAUAUAGUUAGGCAUGGAUUAAUUAAGAUGAAUAAGCCACAGUAGACAUGACUGCAUAAAGACGAGUGUGUCGCCCAUCGUGUAAUCAAAUGCUUUUUAUUAAUAAAGUAUUAGUUUAGUUUUCUUUUUCCUCCCCCAAUAUCUUUUCUCUAUAUUAUAUUUUGUUCUAUUUUACAUCUUGGGUUAACAAUCGGUAUUAGCAUAAGUGCUAGUUUCAACAAUUGGUAUCAGAAAAAAUCACGCUUCCAACACUACUCUAAUAUAAGCCAAUAUAAGAUUUAUUUCUGCAAUUUUUAUAUUAUACAUUAUUUCUACAAAUAUUAAUUUCUACUCCUUCAGUUGCCGUAUCUUUUUCAUAAAUUUCUGAGAAAAUGUCCGUGGAAAAGACAUCCCCCACAAUGAUUGUACUAUUUUUGUUGGUUUAGCAUUAUGAUGAAUGUACAUUUUGCUAUACCUUUUAUUUGUUCUAUAUACUCUCAUACCUGAUUAGUUGUGGACUCUAGGUUUGUUGUAUGCUACGGGUGUGCGGGGUGUUUCUCGUGUAUUCGGUGGGUUUGAUUAUGCGCUUGGAGGCUUCUGCUGUAAUUUUGGGGCAUGAGAAGUGAUCAUUACCCUCCUCCUACUUCUCUGUCUUUAUUCCGGCGAAGCUCCGAGCAGUGCUGAAUAUUGAUUUUUUUGGUUGUUUUAAAAAAAAAAUUUGUGCUGAAUCUAUAAAAACAAAAAAAAAUAGUCUAUUUUUGCAAAUCCGUAAAACAAAGUGAAUUUUUUAUGCAAAAUGGCUAUUUUAUAUUUAUUCCAAAAUUUAAAUUAAACAUAAAAGACAAAUAAAGUUAUGAAUCUCCUAAAUUUAGGAUUAUAUUACAUAGAUUUUAUAUAUCCAAAUAUUUAUGAUUUUUAUGUGAUUAAUUUUUUGUAAAAUGAUACGUAACAUUAGCCUCCAUAAAAAAUGUAUUAUAAUAAUUUUAUCAAUAUGUGCUGCGAGUCGAUUUUCUUGACUGUUGACUCGGUCAAACGUACUCCCUCGGGAAACAUGCGAGGAGUACAGGGCUACUGAUAAUGACCCUCAAAAUUUGCAUCUGCAAACGAAUCAAGCGAUUCGGCUGAUGAGGAAUCGAAUCAACUAAGUUCAAAGACUACAUAGUGAAUUCGGUUUGGUUGAAGAGUCGAAUGAUACUUAUAUAUAUUGCCGAAAUGGAGAAAAUGUGGAUAGAAAGAGGUACGCCGCUGUGGCGCUUGGUCUUACAAGAAUUACUAACUUAAAACUACUCAUAGAAAAGCAGAAAAUGCGAAGAAAAUGAGAAAUUACAAGUAGACUACUAGAAAGCGAAAAAUGUAGAAAAUUAAGUUGGUCUUCUUGUUCUGGGGAAAAGACCUCUCUUAUAGUCGUCUCUUAUCUAUUUAUAAUUUUGCCUGUUGUUAUUAAGUUUUUCCCUAUGAUUGGCCACAUUCCUUUUUGUAAGCCACUAUCGGCCGAUCCUAACCACAUAAGUCUUAACUGCUUUUUGAUUUUAUGUGCAUUCUUCUUUGCUUCAGGCACACCACAUGUCACCUAUUCCUAGUUUCAAGAGCGACUCUCGCGGUAUAUCCUGGUUCACCAUGUGCCGCAAUUUUAUCGUGCCAACAAUAUAGUUGGAUGAUUUCUGAAUUAAGGGGCUGUUUGGAUCCCUGUAAAACUUUUCUGAAUUGAGGGGCUGUUUGGAUGAUUUUUGUAAAUUUUUUUUCCUACAUUUGGUUGUCCGUAAAAUUUUUUUUGAAAAAGUUAUUUUACAGAUUUUGGAAAAAAAUAUGCGUUUUCGUUUUCCGCGUGCCGUCCGCGGAAAACGAAAACAAGGAGGGAGAUGGCACGGCGUUGGGGAGCGGAUGGGUCAGCAGACACGC